AAUAGCGUAUAUUAAAGUUGUUGCAGUUAAAAAGCUCGUAGUUGGACCUUGGGCCUGGACAGGCGGUCCGCCUCACGGCGUGUACUGUCUUGCUGGGCCUUUCCUCUUGGUGAUCUGUGGUUUCGGCCGCAGGGAACCAGGACCUUUACUUUGAAAAAAUUAGAGUGUUCAAAGCAGGCUUUACGCCAGAAUAUAUUAGCAUGGAAUAAUAAAAUAGGACGUGCGGUUCUAUUUUGUUGGUUUUUGGGAUCGCCGUAAUGAUUAAUAGGGACAGUCGGGGGCAUUAGUACUCACAUGCUAGAGGUGAAAUUCUUGGAUUUUGUGAAGACUAACUUCUGCGAAAGCAUUUGCCAAGGAUGUUUUCAUUAAUCAAGAACGAAGGUUAGGGUAUCGAAAACGAUUAGAUACCGUUGUAGUCUUAACAGUAAACUAUGCCGACUAGGGAUCGGUCGAUGUUAUUUUCUUGACUCGAUCGGCACCUUACGAGAAAUCAA
rnacentral:rRNA from 1 species